AUAACCCUAUCAGACUCUCUCUCACACUCACUCGCCCGUCUCUCUCUCUCUCUCUCACUCACUCACGAAACGAAACCCUAUUUCUCUCCCGAUCUGAGACUAACCCUCACCUCAUCGGCCGCCGUCGGUGCGCGCUCUCUGUCUCUCUCUCGACUCGUCCCUUGGCUCUCUCUCACUCUUCACAUCUUUAAGUCUCUUAGAGUCGCGCGAGACUCAUUCUCUUUCUCCAAACCGAACCAAACAUCAUCCAAUUUUAUUGGUUUUUGGAGCGAAUCCUUGUAAAUUCUGGAGGGCUCUGGUUCAUUCUAAGUAGUUGUGCUUAGUCUCUGUGGGUUUGGAUUAAUAGGCAAAAUUGAAGGCAUUCUCUUAUUAUCCCAAAAUCUCAUUUUUGUUCGUUGAAAGCCACACCCCCAGAUUUUUGGUUUGGUUUAAAGCGUGCAAAUCUUGAUUUGUUGGGUUGUGGUUUGCGAUGAUGAGAUGAAACACUGGACGUGUUUUGGGCAGUGGACAAGCUCAUUUGGUAUUCUUUAUUCUUUGAUUACAAUUGGACGUGAUUCCAUUACAUUCAUUAAGCAACGAAACCCUGAAAGGAUCUCUCUCCCUCUCUGUAUUCUUUGAUUCAUUUGGUAGAAACCCGUUCGUUUUUAGAGGCAAAAGAAGCAUUGUGAAGUGGGCAUAAGCCAUGGCAGCUCCUAAACCAGAAGAGAUAAGCCAUCCACCAAUGGACCAACUUCAAGACUUAGAGUACUGCAUUGACUCAAACCCAUCUUGGGGGGAAUCAAUAGCUUUGGGUUUCUAGCACUACAUUUUGUCCUUAGGAACUGCUGUGAUGAUCCCAUCCUUCCUUGUUCCUUUUAUGGGUGGCACUGAUCAAAAAGGAAAAGGCUUUAGUGAAUAGCAAAAAUGUUGAAGAUAUGUUGGAAGGUUGCUUUGUGAAGGCUUUUGGAAGAAUGGAUGCAUCAUAUUUUUUGCAAGGAUAUUAUCUCUAUGUGUAUUUUUGUGAUGGGUUGUAAUCUUUAAUGUCAUAAGUUUAAUUUGGUUUGUGUAUUAUUUUUUGUAAUGGUUUGUAAGAGAUUAUAUUUCCUUUCUUGGUUGGUUGGUUGGUUGAAUGUGUGUAUGUGAGAUUUAUUUAGUUUAGAAACUUAGAUUGGAAUGAUGGAUUUUUAUAGCUUGAAUGUACAUAAUUUCAGGUUUUGAAAGAGAAGUAAAAAGUGUUUUGGGCUUGUUCAU